rnacentral:rRNA from 1 species
CUAUCAUUAACUGAAUCCAUAGGUUAAUGAGGCGAACCGGGGGAACUGAAACAUCUAAGUACCCCGAGGAAAAGAAAUCAACCGAGAUUCCCCCAGUAGCGGCGAGCGAACGGGGAGGAGCCCAGAGCCUGAAUCAGUGUGUGUGUUAGUGGAAGCGUCUGGAAAGGCGCGCGAUACAGGGUGACAGCCCCGUACACAAAAAUGCACAUAUUGUGAGCUCGAUGAGUAGGGCGGGACACGUGGUAUCCUGUCUGAAUAUGGGGGGACCAUCCUCCAAGGCUAAAUACUCCUGACUGACCGAUAGUGAACCAGUACCGUGAGGGAAAGGCGAAAAGAACCCCGGCGAGGGGAGUGAAAAAGAACCUGAAACCGUGUACGUACAAGCAGUGGGAGCCUCUUAAUGGGGUGACUGCGUACCUUUUGUAUAAUGGGUCAGCGACUUAUAUUCUGUAGCAAGGUUAACCGAAUAGGGGAGCCGAAGGGAAACCGAGUCUUAACUGGGCGUUAAGUUGCAGGGUAUAGACCCGAAACCCGGUGAUCUAGCCAUGGGCAGGUUGAAGGUUGGGUAACACUAACUGGAGGACCGAACCGACUAAUGUUGAAAAAUUAGCGGAUGACUUGUGGCUGGGGGUGAAAGGCCAAUCAAACCGGGAGAUAGCUGGUUCUCCCCGAAAGCUAUUUAGGUAGCGCCUCGUGAAUUCAUCUCCGGGGGUAGAGCACUGUUUCGGCAAGGGGGUCAUCCCGACUUACCAACCCGAUGCAAACUGCGAAUACCGGAGAAUGUUAUCACGGGAGACACACGGCGGGUGCUAACGUCCGUCGUGAAGAGGGAAACAACCCAGACCGCCAGCUAAGGUCCCAAAGUCAUGGUUAAGUGGGAAACGAUGUGGGAAGGCCCAGACAGCCAGGAUGUUGGCUUAGAAGCAGCCAUCAUUUAAAGAAAGCGUAAUAGCUCACUGGUCGAGUCGGCCUGCGCGGAAGAUGUAACGGGGCUAAACCAUGCACCGAAGCUGCGGCAGCGACACUAUGUGUUGUUGGGUAGGGGAGCGUUCUGUAAGCCUGUGAAGGUGGCCUGUGAGGGUUGCUGGAGGUAUCAGAAGUGCGAAUGCUGACAUAAGUAACGAUAAAGCGGGUGAAAAGCCCGCUCGCCGGAAGACCAAGGGUUCCUGUCCAACGUUAAUCGGGGCAGGGUGAGUCGACCCCUAAGGCGAGGCCGAAAGGCGUAGUCGAUGGGAAACAGGUUAAUAUUCCUGUACUUGGUGUUACUGCGAAGGGGGGACGGAGAAGGCUAUGUUGGCCGGGCGACGGUUGUCCCGGUUUAAGCGUGUAGGCUGGUUUUCCAGGCAAAUCCGGAAAAUCAAGGCUGAGGCGUGAUGACGAGGCACUACGGUGCUGAAGCGACAAAUGCCCUGCUUCCAGGAAAAGCCUCUAAGCAUCAGGUAACAUCAAAUCGUACCCCAAACCGACACAGGUGGUCAGGUAGAGAAUACCAAGGCGCUUGAGAGAACUCGGGUGAAGGAACUAGGCAAAAUGGUGCCGUAACUUCGGGAGAAGGCACGCUGAUAUGUAGGUGAAGCGACUUGCUCGUGGAGCUGAAAUCAGUCGAAGAUACCAGCUGGCUGCAACUGUUUAUUAAAAACACAGCACUGUGCAAACACGAAAGUGGACGUAUACGGUGUGACGCCUGCCCGGUGCCGGAAGGUUAAUUGAUGGGGUUAGCGGUAACGCGAAGCUCUUGAUCGAAGCCCCGGUAAACGGCGGCCGUAACUAUAACGGUCCUAAGGUAGCGAAAUUCCUUGUCGGGUAAGUUCCGACCUGCACGAAUGGCGUAAUGAUGGCCAGGCUGUCUCCACCCGAGACUCAGUGAAAUUGAACUCGCUGUGAAGAUGCAGUGUACCCGCGGCAAGACGGAAAGACCCCGUGAACCUUUACUAUAGCUUGACACUGAACAUUGAGCCUUGAUGUGUAGGAUAGGUGGGAGGCUUUGAAGUGUGGACGCCAGUCUGCAUGGAGCCGACCUUGAAAUACCACCCUUUAAUGUUUGAUGUUCUAACGUGGGCCCCUUACCGGGGUUGCGGACAGUGUCUGGUGGGUAGUUUGACUGGGGCGGUCUCCUCCUAAAGAGUAACGGAGGAGCACGAAGGUUGGCUAAUCCUGGUCGGACAUCAGGAGGUUAGUGCAAUGGCAUAAGCCAGCUUGACUGCGAGCGUGACGGCGCGAGCAGGUGCGAAAGCAGGUCAUAGUGAUCCGGUGGUUCUGAAUGGAAGGGCCAUCGCUCAACGGAUAAAAGGUACUCCGGGGAUAACAGGCUGAUACCGCCCAAGAGUUCAUAUCGACGGCGGUGUUUGGCACCUCGAUGUCGGCUCAUCACAUCCUGGGGCUGAAGUAGGUCCCAAGGGUAUGGCUGUUCGCCAUUUAAAGUGGUACGCGAGCUGGGUUUAGAACGUCGUGAGACAGUUCGGUCCCUAUCUGCCGUGGGCGCUGGAGAACUGAGGGGGGCUGCUCCUAGUACGAGAGGACCGGAGUGGACGCAUCACUGGUGUUCGGGUUGUCAUGCCAAUGGCACUGCCCGGUAGCUAAAUGCGGAAGAGAUAAGUGCUGAAAGCAUCUAAGCACGAAACUUGCCCCGAGAUGAGUUCUCCCUGACUCCUUGAGAGUCCUGAAGGAACGUUGAAGACGACGACGUUGAUAGGCCGGGUGUGUAAGCGCAGCGAUGCGUUGAGCUAACCGGUACUAAUGAACCGUGAGGCUUAACCUU